GGUACCCUGUGGUACUAUCAGCAGUUUUUCUCCUUCUGACUUGUUAUGAUAAUAAGUUUGUUUUUACCAUCAACACUUAUUAAUUCAGGAUAAUAUGAAACACUCUAAGUGUAUGAUCCACUUUUUGAGAACUAUCCUGAUUUGAAAUAUUUUGUCUUACCAUCCCCAUAUGCCACUGUCUUAGAAAAGUGAAGCUGUUAACAAAUGCUGUCUUUGGAUUUGAAUGGACUGAAAUCUGAAUCACAGCUCUGCCACCUACUAAACUGGUUGAACUUAGGGUCGUGGAAUGUAAAGGAAAUGGCUGAGCCACAGCUGCAAACAAUUACUAAGCAUUUUCAAUGGUCUUGGGAAAUGCCACGAAUUCAGAGCAUCACUUCAGAAGCCUGGAUCGCACCCCUGUGAAGUGCAUUGCCAUCAGACGAACCCAUAUUCUGUGCCUCCUCGGCGAAAUUUAAGGAUUUAAGGAUCAGACCUUUAUUGAGGCUCGGUCUUCUGACACCUAAAAUAAAAAACCUCUCUCUCUUUUUCUUCUU